GGACGUCUCCCUGCCCGCGGCUGACGGCCGAGCCGACACCCCCGAGAUUCCCACAGCAAGGACAGCUGGAUGCUAUCACCAAUGGGGAUGGAAGGUCUUUCAUGGGAAAUCAUCUGAGACACUGAAGGGCCCAUUCCUAAGCUCUUGAGGUCUUUUCUCUGCUGAUAUCUGGCCCUAAGAGGAUCUCUCCUGUAUUAGAGCAUGAAUAAGCCACACUCAUUCACCUGGGGAGUGGACAUUUUGUCGAUAAUCAACUUUUUAAUAUUUAUAAUCUGUUAAACUGAUAUUACCUCCUCCAUCAUAAAUCCUUUUAUGCUUGCUUUGGAGAGAAGUUGAACAGGUCAGGGAAGGGGAAAGAAAUCGAUGUUUAUUGAGCACCUGCUGGAUAUUACCUGACCCUGUGCAACAAGUCCAUUACUUAAGUUAUGUGAUCUCACUGAUGGCACUGUAGAGACAUUAUUCCUACUCCGUAGUUGAGAAUCCUAAGGUCCAAAGGAGACAGGAACUUGUGUUAAGAUCAUACAAAUAAGGACAAAAGUCAGGGAUUUUUUGGACUACAUAUUUUUGGCCAAAUCAGAGAUUGUCAAAUGAGGCUAAUCUGGAAACCCCCUGAAGGCCAGCGGGAGGGGAGGAGUGUGGGCAACCCUGUCCAUCCUCAGAACAGCUCUGUGGGUGUUGGACUUCCUCCUUCAUAAGGAAAGAGCCUCAGGUUAAAAUAAAAGUUUAAUGUAUCAUUGUGUUACAUGCAUAUGCUGUCUUUAAUGUUGCACAUGAUUUCCUUAAUAGUUUUAGAAAUAGCUCUAAUCCCAAAUGUGAUUGCUACUCACAGGAGACUGCAUUUCAAAAUAGCCUUUUCUGUAAUUAUUCCCAUACAGCAGACUUAGCUGCUGUACCUACCAGAAGGAAUUCCUGGAGAUCUAGAACAGUUGAUAAGAAAGCAAUGCCUCAGCAGUGCCUGCAGUAUUAUUCAGGAUAAGAGCCCCCCUUUGACUGUUAAUGAUUUGAUCUAUGUCAUCUAUACAAGUGGGAAACACACUAGAAGCAGUGACUGGUGUCCUCAGGAUGUUGGUAUUCACGGUGAUUGUUUUGUUAUUCAUGUUUCCUCUGUUGACAAGUUUUUCAGUGAACUUGUAUCAUUUUGUGAUUAGAUUUUAAAAAGGUUAUUUACAUAGUCCUAAAGUUUAGAUUCUUGCACAUUGCUCUUAGUAAUUUUCAGUAUUGAAGAGCACACAUCCAUUCUCUGAAACGAUCUCGAUUAUGUUUGUUAUUCCAAUGAAUCGAAUGUGAAGUUGAGUGUGAAGAUGUAUGUCCUACUUUAACAAAAUGCCCUGGAGAGCGAGGCAGCGCUCCCGCCUGCCUGUGACUGUGCAGGUGUUUCUUUUCACAGACCAUUGGCGUUUGCAGCUCUUUCUGCCCGCUGGUGUCUGUGCACUGUCCUGUACUUACCUUCGCUUUUAAAUUGUCCUUUGGAUAUAAAAAAAAUACAGAACAAUUCUCUGGAGAUAAAAAUAGGUCUAUUUCAUCCUGAUACAUGUUCUUAAACAUAUUGUGGCAAGCGUUUCUCUAUCCCAGCACCAGCUGUGAUCACCUCCUAUCUUCAUUAGGUUUGCCAUAGUGGGGGUAGGGCCAGCUCCAAACAGCAGCCUUAGCAAAAUACAUUUCUUUGCUUUAAUAGGUGUACUUAUAUUGCACCAAAUAAAAGGUGGUGCAGGCACACCUUGAAGAUAUUGUUGGUUCAUUUCCAGAAUACUACAGCAACCCUAAUAUUGCAUAAAUAAAGUCAUUACUUUUUUGUUGGUUUCCUGGUGUGAAUGAAAAUUGUUUGCUCUAUAGUGUCGUCUAUUAGGUAUGCAGUAGUAUUUUGUCUAAUGAGAAAAUAGCCUAAUUAGAUAUCACCGAGACAUGAGGUGAACAUAUGUUUUUUUGGGAAAUGGUGCUGCUGGACUUAGCCCAGUCCAGGUUGCCACACACCUUCAAUUUGUGAAAAGCAGUAUCUGAUAAAGCAAAGCAAGCAGGAUGGGGUGUGCCUUUAUAGACACUUCUGAGAACAAUCCUUUGGUUUUUAAUAAAGUAUACACAUCUGGAUAAGUGGACUUUAAUUUAAUGAUGAUGUUUAUAUGUAACUAUUUUUUUUCAGCAGUUAUGUCAGCACAGGAGGGUGUGUAUUCUUUUCCAUGAUAGAAAGUAUGCUGAACACUCAAGGUAGUGAACAAGGGUUAGCUAAAUGCCUGCAGUCUGCCAGGGACUGGGCUAUACACAUAGCCUCUUUAAAAUUUAUUGUGGUCUUUUAAAAAUGUCAAAAACUUAUAGCUAUCAUUUGUUGAAUCUCAGUUGUAAGUAGAAAAUAGGGAGUUUAGUUUUUAUUAUGCUAUUGAACAGCUACAGAGGAAGCACAUAUGACUUGGCUUCUGCCUAAAUUCUUCCCCAGGCUGUAAAUCCAUGUGUCUGCAGUGAGGUAGCCAGUACUCCCUGCCACCACACUCUGAUCCUUUUGCUCCCCAAACUGGACAUUACUGUUGACAUUUGGGAUCAUGGUACCAUUGCUGUGCUUUAUUGUUUUGAAUCAUUGGUGUUUUGUUAUUUAUCUUUUUAAAACACUUAUUUAUUUAUUAUGCACAAAAGAUCUAGGGCACAGGCCAGAGAAGAAGGGGGUGGGAGGACUCACGAGAGACAGAGCGGGGAACAGAACAGGCAGACCAAUUGAAAUACACAGCUGAAGGUAGCAGCGGGUGAGACAAGAGAGGUCUGCCUCGCCAGGUGGGCCACCCGCUGGCCGGCCAGGGAUCAAACUGGGGCUGUGGGGGCUGCAGACCCCCUCAUAGUGUGGUGCUCAACCCCCAACCCCCUGUGCCACCAGGGUGGCCCUAGAUUUAUUUUUUAAUAUUUUAUUUUAUAUAAUUCUUAUAACAUUCCUAUUUUUAUUUUUAUUUAUUUAUGCAUUUUUAUGUAUGCAUACAAGAACUCUACCAAUUUCUAAUUCAAAGUUUGCUUUUUUUGUUUAAAGAUUUAUUUUUGUGUAGAAGACCUGGGGUGCAGGCUAGCAGUGUCGGGUGAUGAGAGGAUUUACCAGUGACAGAGUGGGGAGCAGAACAGACGGAUCUACUGAAAUACACUGCUCAGGGGAGCAGUGGGUAAAUACAGGAGAGGUCUGCUGUGCCCUCUGUGGGUCAGCUCCCUGACUGGGGAUCAAACUUAGGCCAUAUUGUGGGCCAUUGUGGUGAUAAUGGUGAGACUUAAGCCCUGGUCUACUAGGGAGGCCCUCAAAGUUUGUUUUGAUGUUGAAUAAGCAUAAUUAUUUGUUGAGCUCAUUUAAUGUUACAGAAUACUAAUACAGAUGUUCCAAAGUUAGUUUGGAGGGCCUCCCCGUGGCGCAGCGGUUGAGCGCUGGGUUGCGAAACUGCCCGCAGCCUCUGCAGCGCUGGUUCGAUCCCCGGCUGCUCCCCGGCCACUGGAGGAGGGUCCCACAUGGCAUGCAGACCUCUCCUGCCGCCCGCUGCUCCCCUCAGCAGUGUCUUUCGGUCCUUCUGUCUGCUCUGCUCCCCGCUCUGGCUCUGGUGAAUUCUCUCACCCUCCGGCGCUUCUGACUGUACCCAGUGCUUGUAUAAAUAAAUAAAUAAAUAAAUCUUUAAAAAAAAAAUUGUGGCUCUUAGAACUAUAACAUCUAUUAAAAAAAUAAAAAGUUAGUUUUGAAGGUGCAUGAAAAAUAUUUUCAUUAUGGAUCUGAUGGUGGGUAUUGUCUCAGGGGGCUUGUAAAUGUUAUCUCUGAGACCUGAGGAAUUGGUCGUACUCUUUAGAUGCAGACUUUACUAUUUGAGGCCAAUUGAAAAAUUGGCAUCUUUGAUAGAAUGGAAGAUAUAGUGAUCAUUUAAUUUUACAUUAAAUAAUUUAGAAUAUUAUAAUAGCUAAUAUUCAGAAUCAUCUGGAAUAAUUGGAAAGCUGAGUCUGUGUGGGAGACUGUGGCAUUAUUUUCUCUCUGAGUCCAGGAUAAUGUAUGUGCUAUUGCUCGGAAAUCCUCAGUGGCCACUUUGUUUUUGGUGGGUUUUGAGUGAACCUCCUCUGCUGUUUGUUCCCAAUAUUUGGUGUUGAGUUUUAAUGGUUUCCAUAUUGUGGAAAAUAAGCUAAGGUCAUACAUGUAACAACACUAAAAGUAGCCUUUCACUUGGGUCUGCAGGUAAUGAAUUUUAUAGAACAACUUGUAGGGUGCGUAUUCAUCAUUAGCGUACAUGGAAAGAUGGUGACAUUUGCAGUGGCAGGUGCCUGUUUUCCUUAAGUCCUGGAAGAGAACAAGAAGAAUCUUUACAAUUCAAAGAUUAUAGUUUAUGGAUCAAGAAUUUUUAUACAACCUAAGCAGGGUGAGGUCUGAGCAUCCCUAACAUACAAAUGCUACGUCCAUGUUCAGGGGAGAUCGUCUUUUCUGUUCGCAGUGUAUCUGGGUUUUUCUGCUGAAAUGAGUAAGUCUCAUGUGGCCCUGUGUGAACCACUGAUACUAAAGAAUCUGUAGAUGGUACCUUAGUUAGGAUUGCAGGAAGAUCAUCAAGGGUUAGAACGAGUGCUCAUCGUGUAUGGUUCACUUCAAUGUCUGUAAUGAAACCUUGCAGGCUUCACUGAUUAGGGAUGAAGAAGGUUGUGGCUGACACCCCAGGAUGCCAAAGCUGCUGCAGCCUGUGUGCUCAUGAACAAAAGGGCACUGAGAAGCCAGUGUCUUGUCUUAAGUACCUUCCUGUGUGGAACUCAGAACCCCAAGGAAACAGGUGAGUGUCUGAGUUGAUGCCUGGUGAGCAGCAGACCAGGUCAGCUUGCCAAGGAGCAGCCCUCAGCCGUGUUCCUCUGACACCUUGGGAUCACAGAGCUGUAAGCAUGAGGCAGCUCUGGAGUUGUGGCUGCCUAGGCCUUUUCCUAUCAGAAUAGCAUCUGACAAUCAUAUUAUUUACUCUCUCAAUGACCACUUUUUGAACUGUGCUUGCCUGCUGUGCAGAAGCUCUUUGCUAUGCUAUGAGGAACAUCCAGGGAAGUGAAAUAAUGCCCCAGGCAAACAUGCAUGAAAUUAAUUAGCAUCAUAGAGUAAAUGCCACAUUUGGCCUUAUAUGGUGGCAGCCCUGUAUGAGUCACUGAAAUGGCUUUAAAAUGGAAAUGUUUGCUGGUAGCCCCUGACGUAUUCAUCUUUUUCUCCCAGCAGAAAUACUCAUCUAUAGGUAGAGUGUACCAAUGAUGUUCCUGAUGCUGGUUUUCAUGGAAAGUCUUGUAGAGUUAUCCUUUCAGAACGCUCAGAUGGAACUCGAGCUGCAGAGGCUGUGGAUGGCCUCAGUGCGGUGCUUAACCCCUGCACCAUCAGGGAGGCCCCAUGCCUUGCUUUUAUGUCAGCUUCAGGUAAGGGGAUUUUUAACAACGAUUAAAAAAAAAAUCUUUCCCCAAAAUUCAAGCAACCUUGUUUGCUGUUUUAAUGACUUGGGGAUAUUUUAGGGUCUGGCUGCAGCAGACACUGUCAGUGAAAGGCUGGGAGUCUCCGAGCCUGCAACAGACCCACCUGUGCCUCCUGCCUCGGAGUUAUGUUGGGACAAGGCCUGGGGGUGGACUAAAAGUUUCAGGGAGUGACUGGCCAGGAGCCUGACUUGUGCUCCUCAGAUGACCAGGUGAGCUCUUAGAAGUCUCCUGCUUCUCUACUCCCUGCUUGCUUCAAGUUGUAAAUGUGCCCCUUCUGGGGCCAUGGGUGCUCUGUCACCCAAUGGCUCAGGGCUCAGACUUUGGAAAAAGAUCACCUCUGGGCCUGCGGGAUAAAUAAAGAUGAAAUUUUUCCAUAACCUCUUACAAUCUAAAAAUCAAAAGGUAGAAGGUCCUAACUCAAUGCAAAUAAAGCGAGGUGUGUUAAGAAUUAUAUUUAAAACAGGACCUCUCCUGGUGGCAUAGGUGGUUGUAGGUGGUUAAGCGCAGUGCUGUGAAGCUGUCUGCAGCCUCUGCAGCACCCAUUUGAUCCGGCUGGCCGGAGUGGGUCCCACGUGGCGCAGCAAACCUCUUGUGUAAUGCCCGCUGCUCCCCUCAGCAAUGUAUUUCAGUAGAUCUCCCUGUUCUGUUCCCCACUCUGUCUCUGGUGAAUCCUCUCACCCCCCACAUCUCUGGCCUGUACCCCAGUUCUUGUGUGCAUAAAUAAAUAAAUCUUAAAAGAUUAUUUAUGCACUCAAGAACUGGGUUGUAAGCCAGAGAUGGGGGUUGUGUUUGAGAGGAUUCACCAGAGACAGAGUGGGGGGCAGAACAGGCAGACUGACUGAAACACACUGCUGAGGGGAGCAGCGGGGAGACAGGAGAUAUCUGCUGCACCAUGUGGGUCAGCUCCCUGGACAGGGAUGGUACUCAUGCUGCUGGUGCUGGUGCUUUAUAGUGCAGCGUCCUAACCCCUCGCGCCCACAGGGAGGUCCCUCUCUUCUAUUCUUUUUUUUCCCUUUUUGUUGUAAAGGCAAUGAACGAGUCACAGGGAGAAGCUUUGUUAUACAAAAUUUUGUUUUAUGAAAUAUCCUGGCCCCAUUCAUUAUUUUUCCUGCAUCUCUCGUAGGUGUAGACAACUUUCUUGUAUUUGUAAGCUGGAAGGGCUCAGACUUUGAAGGAGUGUCUUGUUUUCAUUUUUAUUUUUAAUUGAAGCUAUAUACAGCUGUGGAUUAAACAGAAUAAAUUUCUAAAUUUAAAAAUGAAGAAUAGGGGCAAAAGUUGUUUAUUUGGGUUGAAAAGCUAGCCGGAGCACAGGUUCAGGCUAGAAAGCCAGACACCCUCACUAAGAAAAAAAAUGAGGUGACCUUGACAUGAACUCCCAACACUGCUGCUCUGCCCUUGCCUGUGUGACUAGCGGGAGACCAUGUUUCAUCCUAAAAUGUUUUUCUGUAACUACAUGGAAUUCUUCAGCCUUUUAAAAAAUUACUUUACCCUGCCAAGGAACAAGGAGGUCAUUUUACCAAUGGAGUUUCCAUCAGCUUCUGUUACUGGUCCUGAUAAUGAUAGGGAGUUGUGUAUAUUAUAGAAAAUGUGAAGAGUAGAAUAAAAUAGGAUGAACAGUAUCAAAAAGUAUUCUUAUGACUUAGUACAUUUCCUUCCUAGUUUUUCCCCUAUAUUGGCACUUGCCUGUGUAGAAGGUGGGCAGUAGCUUGAUAAUUAUAAAAUGAGCUUCCAUUAAAUAGGUCAAGGAAUGUAAAGUCACAUCAUCUCAUGAUCUUCGUCCAUAAAGAAGCCCCUAUAUGGCUGUCACCCAUUUUUUCUUGGCUCUUCACUACAUAUCCUGGUAUGUAUCACUGCAUGUAUCAUUAAACCUGGGGUACACAGCACCAGGGGACAGAGCCACUGAGCGGGAUGUAGAGAAAAUGCCCCCGGCCUGAGGCUGCUACUGGGUCAGACCUUGCGCCAACACCCAUGCUGAUGGCUGCUCCCCAUGCUGUGAAUGUGCAGCUCGGGCUGGGAGGAGGCGGGUGUCCUGGUGGGUGCAUGUUUUCUGUGGCGAAGCCUCCGUGUGCUCCAGGGCCCUCAGCCCCUGACUGUGGCCUCUGCUGUGUGCCUCAGUGGCUCAGGACUUGCUCCUCUUCUGUGCUACAGUUUGCUUGUCUACAGGGCCUGGCCCCCAGUGUGCCUCGCUGUCCUGAUGCCCUGAAAGGAGCAGCGGGUGCUGCCCUGGCCUUGUGUCCCUGUGGCCCCCCUGCUGUGGUGCUGGCCCCAGACCAAGUUGGGGUUGACUGUGUGUCCACAGCUGCACCCCUCAGUGGUGUGUGUCUCCUUAGGGAGCUUGCCCUCCCCUCCUGGAGGGUCAGUCAUGCAGUUGCCAGUGUCAUGAGCUGACCCCGCUGUGCAUAGACAGCCUGAGAGUUGGGCCCUCCAAGCCUCUGUGGCCUUUCUUGUCUCGGUCUUCUCUGGCCGUGCUCUGUGCUGCCCUGGCCACCACCAGGCACCUGGCUCUUGGCUUACACUGUGCCAGGGUCUCUGGGCUCCCUCCCAAGGCCACUAUCCACCUGGGAUGCAGUGACAGGGCCCCUGUGUUCUACAACUGAUGUUCACCGAGCACUCAAGCUGUAGGGGGACCUGAGGUGAGUCUUGUGCUGGGGAUCAGUCUUUUUGGCCUGACUCAGGCUGUGGGUACCUGUGGCUGCUAGCUGGGCAGCUCAUGGUUGGUGUGGCUGGUGGAUACUGCCUGGUACCCUCAGUUGGGUGUCCUGCUACCUGGAGCCCUCAGUUUGGAAAGAGCCAGUGUGUUGAGCCACCUGGGCCCAUGGGGCUGUUUUGGGGCUAGAGGGCAGCCUUUGUCCACACAAAGGAGGAAGGAGAUGAUGCUGCUGGAGGAGGAGAUGCUAGAGAAAGGAGGAGCCCCACGUUGCCAGCUCCAGUGUGCAAGAGAGGCCUGUGGGGGCAGCUGGUGCUGGUGGGGCUCCAGGAGUGCCUGCCUGUGGGCAGUGCCCAGGCCACCGCAGUCCCAUAGGAGUUAUAAUGUCACCGUAGAUCCAGCGAAGGUGGUAAUUGGAGGUCCAUGGGGGCCUGGGGUUGGCUGUCCCUGUGUUGCCUGCCAGUGUCAGAGGACUGGAGUUCUGGGUGGUGGUCAGCAGCAGCCAUCUCCCACAUGGUACUGCUUACCCCAGGAGCUGGGGCCCUUUGGGUCCUGUGUGGCUGGUUGGAGAGCAGAGCCCUCCAGCUGGGCCCUAUAGGGGAGGUGCCCCUGGUGGGCAGGUGGAGAUCCAGCUCAUGGUGACUGAGUGUUGUGUUGCCUGAUGGGUCACUGCCCCCGUUACUGAGGUUUGCAGCCUCCCUGAGUUUGGGUGGGCAGUGGGGGUGCCUGAACUGCCAAAGGCUGUUGUCCAAGCAGUUGGCUGUGUGCUGAACCCUGCCUUGUGUGCAUGGGUCAGUGCUGCUGUCACAUGGUGGGGGCUGUUUGGUAAAGAGGAAGAGAAAGCUCUGAGCCCCCACGUGGCUGUUCCUCCUCCCUGAUGCACAUCAAGUGCUGGCUGAGCCCUGUGUACAAGGGCCCCUGGGGUGGCAUCUUGCCCCCUGUGAGUGCCGCAGCUUGGACAUGGGAUUCCGGCUCUCAAGAAAGUGGAGGGCCAUGACAGGCAAUGCCCCAGAGGUUCUGGGGCCAGCUUCAGGCUCCAACUGCCUUUAGAGUCUGGCCAUCCAGGGGGGUGGCUGUGGGAGCCCUUGCUUGUGCCUGCAGGGCCAGUGUUGGGGCAGCCUCCACGAGAGGGCACCUGGGAUCAUGGAGGGCUUAUGCCCGGACUUGGCUCCAUCCAGCUCAGUGGCUCUGUCCCCUGGUGCUGUGUACCCCAGGGUUGUGCUGCCCUUACUGGAGUGCCCCUGGAAGAGUGUUUAGCUUCAGCCCCAUUGCAGUGGUGGCAGGGGUGCCUUGCCCAUGUUGAGGGGGCCUGGGGGCCAUGGCCUGGGCUGUCAGUGGUGGGCUCUGAGGGGUGGUGGCUCCUCUGCCACCACCCUUGCAUCUCCUAUGGCACCUUAGAAAGUGUCCUUUUUACUCACUAUGAUAACCCUGACCUCAACCAACGGUGUGGGCUGGGCUGACUCUGCUAUGCCUGUGUGCUCCCUGUGGGGGUUGCCUCUGCUCAUCAGUGAGGUGAGAUUGUGCCAGGGCAGAUGGGCUCGUGGCAAGUGGGGAACAAGCACCACGGCAAGCGUGGUCCAGGUGGCUCUGAGAGGCCACGGGGACUGUGGGUGAGUGCUUUGGUCUGGGAGCAGCACUGGGGUAGGGUGCUUACGGGACAGCUCUCCAUGUUGCCUGCAGGCUCCCCAAGACCUGGUUGCGGAUGCAGUGGGUUGUGCCUACACUGUGCCCCACAGGUGGGGGGCCUGGUCAAUACUAAGUGAGCCAUGGGCUCCUGCCUGGAAUGCAGCAAAGGGGCCUCAUGUUGUCCCAAGCUGCUGGGGCCUGAGCUGCAGCCCAAACCACCACCCCUCUUAAGAGGGUGUGCUGUCUGGGGUGGCCCCUGUGGGGCUACAUGGUGUUCUCAAGCACAAAGGCAGGUGCAGAACUGGCUCCCCUGAGCCCCGAGCUGUGGUGAGGCCAGGCCUCGUACCCAAGCCCAUGGUGUGGGGGGCUGUUCCCUGGGCUGUGACUGUGGUGUAGCAGGGCUGGGAAGAGAUGGGGGCUUGGGCUAUCUGGGGUUGGAGGGGGGCUUCCAUGCCUCAGAGCUCCUGCCUGAGGCCUCCGUGGCAUUGCCCCAGUGGCUUGGGGCCUGUUCCCCUCAUGUGUUCCUGUUGAGGGGGCCUGAUUCCCUAGGUUCCCCCUGUCCUGAUGCCUCACUCCAAAGAGCAACAUGUGGCUGGGGGUUGCUGCCUGUGCCUAUGCUACCAGGGGGCUUUGGCUGUACCCCCUGUUGGCGAGGUGCCCCACCACACUUGGCAGAGUGGGCCCUGGACUUGUGUGUGUUAUGGCCAAGGUGUGUUUGUGCCUGGAGCGCUCUGGACCACAGGCACGCCUGAGGUCUACGCUGGGACACACGCCGCUCUUGUGAGUUGGCUGUUAAACCCUGGAGCCCCUGAAGCUGGGGGGGGAGGGUAACCCUGCUCAGUGUGAGGGGAGCCUGUGCACAGGUGCCCAUGAGGAAACAAGGAUCCACCCCGGUGCGGCGAGGGCUUGCCUUCAGCCCCUGGCAGGGGCUGCUCGCUAGGAAUGCCCCCAUCCUCCCGCUGCAGCUCCGGGGUGUCUUUGCUCCUUCCUGGAUGGCAGGAGACGCCCCCGAGGGAGUGGGGUGUGGGCGCAGGCAGCCAGGUGUGUCGGUUCCUGAGGGAACCUACACGUGGCUGCUUGGGUCCCCGGCCCCUCCUCCUCCCUGGGUUGCCGGUGGGG